GUGGGGAAUAUUGGACAAUGGGCGCAAGCCUGAUCCAGCCAUGCCGCGUGAGUGAUGAAGGCCUUAGGGUUGUAAAGCUCUUUCGCCGACGAAGAUAAUGACGGUAGUCGGAGAAGAAGCCCCGGCUAACUUCGUGCCAGCAGCCGCGGUAAUACGAAGGGGGCUAGCGUUGUUCGGAAUCACUGGGCGUAAAGCGCACGUAGGCGGAUUGUUAAGUCAGAGGUGAAAGCCUGGAGCUCAACUCCAGAACUGCCUUUGAUACUGGCAAUCUCGAGUCCGGAAGAGGUAAGUGGAACUGCGAGUGUAGAGGUGAAAUUCGUAGAUAUUCGCAAGAACACCAGUGGCGAAGGCGGCUUACUGGUCCGGUACUGACGCUGAGGUGCGAAAGCGUGGGGAGCAAACAGGAUUAGAAACCCUAGUAGUCC
rnacentral:rRNA from 1 species